GGCAGGGGGAGCUGUGUAUAAAAGUAGGUCAGUCUCAUUGGCACAGCCUCUGCCGCUGAGUCCGGAGUAGAUCCCGCCCCUGGGCUUCCUCACUUCCUGGUGUGAGCUGUGCGAGCUGUGUUUGCCUGUUGGGCUGCGUUUGGGGUGCUUUUCCCCCUCAUCUGUGGGCCAAGUUGCUGUUAGGUGGCUAUCGUGAGGUCACUGACCCCCCCACCUCUCCUACUGGGUGUGCCAAUUAGAUGUUUUUCUGCCAGCAGUGGCUGAUCAAUCUGCAGUGGAACCUGCCAGCUGUUUUGUCCUUCUGGGUUGCUGCCACGACCAGCGUUGGCACACGUAAUCACGCCUGGUCUGCCUCUGCUCCGUGGAGUCGGCCGCCUGCAGUUCGCUGCACUCCAAUCCACUGGCUGACCUCCUGAACAGAGCUUGAACGCUUGUGGAAUGCCAGGCAGAAGACGGAAGCAAUCUUUUUGCUUUAUUAUCUUUUCUUUCUGCUUUGAUUAAUUUUGUUGAAGACAAGUGUUGGUAUAUUUUCUUGUUCUGCAACAGACUGGCGAUCUGUCCAGGGUGACCCCGCCCUCGCCUGCAGCAGCUGGGAUUGGCCCCAGCCACCUGUGACCCUGAAAGGGAGAAGCGGUUUAGAAAAUGGAUGGAUGGAUGGAUAUUAAAAUAUGACUGACACAGAGCAGGAGCCAGUGGUGGUGAGGGACUGAUCCUGUCAGGAUGGAAGGAACAGCUGAGCUGUCAGAACAGUGUGUGAACAAGCAGCAUUACUUCCAAUAAUACCACUUUCUGUACCAGAAAGGCAGGAGUGACCAGGGAAUCUUUUUUUAACCAUUUAAAGUAAGAUUGUAAAUACACAAAGUCCACUGUUGAAAAGCAAAUAGGAUGAAAGUAACACCAUUGUGCUCUCCUCAUUCUCUCUCUUUCUGCUCACUGAUGUCUAUGUUACUGAACUGGCCUACAAGCUGCUAUUAACACUGUCCUUCACACAAGUUUCCUCUGAGAGGAGUUUCUGAUCAGCAAAAAUCAUUGAAAACAGACUUAGGAGCCCUCGGACCCAGAAAAACGUUAAGCCAACUGUGUUCAUGUGCAAUGAGAAUGAGAUCCUUUGUCUUUGGAUGAUGAUCUUCUCAUAAACAAAGUGGCAGAGACCAAAGCACGGUUCAGGUGCUUAUUAAUGUUUAAGGGUCGGCCCUGUUUCUUUGAAAAACAGAUGGUAGUGUUAUGAGAAAGCACAUUUUCAUAUUCUAUCUAAUAUUUCAUGUUUUUAUUUCAUUUUUAAGGUUUGGACAUCUGUUAAUCGAUAUUUGAAAUAUAGAUUCUGAAAUGAUUA